rnacentral:rRNA from 1 species
UACGUGGGGUGCAAGCGUUAAUCGGAAUUACUGGGCGUAAAGCGUGCGCAGGCGGCUUUGCAAGACAGAUGUGAAAUCCCCGGGCUUAACCUGGGAACUGCAUUUGUGACUGCAUGGCUGGAGUGCGGCAGAGGGGGAUGGAAUUCCGCGUGUAGCAGUGAAAUGCGUAGAUAUGCGGAGGAACACCGAUGGCGAAGGCAGUCCCCUGGGCCUGCACUGACGCUCAUGCACGAAAGCGUGGGGAGCAAACAGG